rnacentral:tRNA from 3 species
GCUUUGUUGGUGCAGUGGUAGCAUGCCUCAUUUGGGAUCGGUUUCCGACUUUGAAUCGGCCUUUCGGAUUUGAGGUGGUCCUCGGUUCAAUCCCGGGACAAGGCC